UACGUAGGUGGCAAGCGUUGUCCGGAUUUAUUGGGCGUAAAGCGCGCGCAGGCGGUCCUUUAAGUCUGAUGUGAAAUCUUGCGGCUCAACCGCAAGCGGUCAUUGGAAACUGGGGGACUUGAGUACAGAAGAGGGAAGCGGAAUUCCACGUGUAGCGGUGAAAUGCGUAGAGAUGUGGAGGAACACCAGUGGCGAAGGCGGCUUUCUGGUCUGUAACUGACGCUGAGGCGCGAAAGCGUGGGGAGCAAACAGG
rnacentral:rRNA from 1 species